rnacentral:misc_RNA from 1 species
GUGAAUCAUCGAAUUUUUGAACGCAAAUUGCACUCCCCGCUAUGAGUAUGCCUGUUUGUGUGUCAGCCUAUAAAACAUCGCCAUCGUUGCUGUUGCGCGGUGGCGUUCGUCGGCACAUGGGUCAUCAUAAAUCUUUUGGUUUUAAGCGACUUAAAAUUGUCUUUUUGGUUCCAUGACCGUAUCUAAGC